GAGAACUGGAGAGUAGAGCAAAGUCAGGUUAUAGGAUGGGGCCAUCAUUUAAAUCAGGGGUCCCCAACCCCCGGGACCGCAGCAUGCCAGCAACUGGUCCACACAAACAAGCAAAGCCCCAUCCAUGGGAUGCAGGCAGCACACAGAACCAUGCACUCUCCGGUCCACAGAAAAACCUUUCUCCAUGGAACCAGUCCCUGGUGUCCAAUAGAUGGAGGACCUCUGAUUUAAAUGGAUGUGAGAUUUGCUAUCCACCAAGGCUCAACAUGAAGGCAAUGCUGCAUAAACACUUGGUUAAUCAAUAUGCAGGCAAACAAAUAAGUGUUGGAAGGUGCCUUAUUCAACGCAGAUACAGAUUCAAAAAGGCUUAACAGAAUAACAGAACAAAAUAACAAGAGUUGGAAGGGACCCUGCAUCAUUCCAGACAAGUGGCUGUCCAGUCUCUUCUUCUAGUGAGAAGAAGCACCCACGACUUCCACUGUUGGAGCACACACAAUUUCUGAAGGCAAGUUGUUCCAUUGGUUUAUUGUUUUCGCUGUCAGAUUUCUCCGUAGUUCUAGGUUGGUUUUCUUCUUGAUAACUUUCCAUUGAUUACUUCUUGUCCUCUGAAGAAUAGUGUGACUCCCUCUUCUUUGUGGCAACCCCUUAGAUAUUGAAACACUGCUAUCAUGUCAUCCCUAGUCCUUCUCUUCAUUAAACUAGACAUAC